UUUGGUUCAGUUUGUUCAUCGUCGUGUUAUAUACUCAUCAAACCCAUCUUCUUAUUUGUUAAGGAUUUGAGGAUCUAACUUUCAACCCACAGAAGAAUAAUAUUGUAGAUUGUUGACGUGGGAGGCUUAAAGGGGUGAAGGUUUAUUCAUCUGGAAAGUAGACGUUGACAGAGAUAGCAAAAUAAGGAGAUGACUUCGUAGAGACCAUUGACUCCAACGAAAUGGCAAGGUGAGGUUCAAUGGAAUCAUGUAUACACUAAACUUGGAGUUUAAAUAAAAAAACCAAGGUAUGAAAACUGGAUGUUGUUAAGUAUAAACUACUCUUAAAAUCAGCCUUAUAAAUUUUUUUUUUUAUUAUCAAUCAUGUAGGCUUCUUACACCUCUAUUUACAUACUGCAAAAAUUAUCUGUUUUUCUUCCAACUCUCUAUUUCUUACUGGCUUUAGAAUGCUGUACUAUAAUCAGCACUGUUAAAGAGUGUAUCUCUUUAAUCAUAUCCUACACUAUAAUCAGCAAUGUUAAAGAUUGUUUCUCUUUUAAUCAUAUCUUUUUUUACAAUUUGAUUUCUAAUUUACUUCAGCUUUUUUUAUCUUUGCCAUGUUUUGUUUGAUCUAACCACUUUUUUUCUUUCUUUUCAAUUUUCAUGUAUCUCUAUACAAGCCUUUCUCAAUGUUUUACAAAUGACCAUAUAUCCUCAAGUCUCUCUAAUCUCACGGCACCUCCCAACAACACACCAAUUAUUCAGAAUUUGUAUAAUAGAAGCUAGACCACAUACAAACAGGCUUGCAUGGCUAUACUUAUCUUAUUUGUACGUAGUACGGGCUUUUAAACUAGAUAACAAAAUCUGUGUUAUCUAUAGCCAUUUGUUUAUCUUUCUUUUCAGAACAUGUUAAAAUGGAUUUUUAUA